GAGGGGGAGGGCAUCAAGCAUGUCUCACAUCCACCACACUUACCAUGGGCGCGCAGGGUCAUCAAUCACAACCCUGUCCUGCUCCAGCUUGGCAGCACAAGGCUCCGAGAAGCAGCGUCAGUACGGUCAGCGCUGCGCGCUGCUACGAGAAGAGCGAUACAGGCGCGGCUCAAUAUGUGCGCUGGAGAAUAACGAGUGGGCGGAGCUCAGCAUCGUGUGUGCUGACGAGUUGGCGGUAGAGUGGUGGCGAGAGGACGCACGAAAAAGCAACAAUGCAGGCCCUACGGAGCCGCGUCCUACGCGGUACACCUAUCGGUACAGGGCAGGAACAACGGUGUCUGUGCUGCCUGUGGGCCAAUCGACGGAGGCCCUCAAUGGCAGCCUCACUGCGGCAGUCGGGACUGUCAAUGCCGAAGAGAAUCAGCUGAGGCUGUGGGAGUGGGAGAACCGUGCCGACUUGCAGGAAUGGGAACUUGGCGAGCGACAGGAGAUCGCCCAGGCAAUGCAGAGUAUCCUGGUGGCGCAGCGCGAGCUCCAGCUUGCCCAUCUGGAAGCUGCGUGUAGGCGUGUGAUGAACGGGACGACGGCGCUCGACUGGACGUCGUACCCACGCUACGACCGGCCGGAGCUGCUCUCAUGAUCCCCUCGAAGAGUUGCUAUGCGUAAAGAAUCUGGUGAGAGGGCAGACUUCAGGAGGAUAGGAAAGCGCAGCGAAAUGCAGGUUUUGCCUUUGCUCGCACAUUGUACAUGCAUGUGUGUUGUUGGUGCCCGGCUCCCAUGACAUUCGUGCACUUGUGUGCGCGUCGCUUUCGCCUUUCCGUUUCGCUUCUCCCUUUGGAAUUUGCCGACGCGUCUUUCCCUUUUUCGCUCUCCCACUUCCAUGCGCGUGUGCGCUUGCCGAGGUGUGGGCAGUCGGGCGAUGUGUGCGUUAUCUGCGGGCUCCGUGUUGCGUCUACGCAAAAGCGGCUGAUGUACAGCGUCAUCAAAUGGGGGUGUGGAGAUGCUCUAGACACCAAAGAUAGUGUCGAAAAGAGGAAUGGAGAGGCGGGUAUUCACGGUGACCCCACCCCCUCUUCCCACGCUGUUGCUUCUUCGUUCAACGCCGCUUGCUGCAAGAUGCCGCGGGGUGGGGGGGUGGGGACAGUCUCUUUCCGGCUUUUUACGCGAAGGCGCGAAUCACCGGAAGGGUUUGUCAAGCGUGAUCGGUCAAGGCAGAGGGACCUGUUCCCAUGUGCCCCUUUGAGGGUGCGUGGGCUCCUACGGUUGAUGUUUUUGGGGCGCUCAAGGCUCCCUUCCCCCGUCCUCCCGCGUAAUCCGCUGUGAGGGCGCGCUUGUGUUAAUGCACUGUUCUCCGGCAGACACUUCUUUCCCACUGCACUGCUGUUCAAUACAUACAUAUAUAUAUAUAUGUACAUAUAUGUGCACACACAUAUUUUUUUUUGCCUUGUGAUGCAAACCGUCUCGCUUUCUCGCGUUGUUGCCACCGAGGGACGGGUGCGGGGAGAGGGGCGACGCAACAAG
rnacentral:misc_RNA from 1 species